rnacentral:tRNA from 1 species
GCCUAGCUAGCUCAGUUGGUAGAGUAUCAGACUUUUAAUCUGAGGGUCCAGGGUUCAAGUCCCUGAUCAGACA